GACGAACGCUGGCGGCGUGCUUAACACAUGCAAGUCGAACGAAGUGGCGAACGGGUGAGUAACGCGUAAUCAACCUGCCCUUCAGAGGGGGACAACAGUUGGAAACGACUGCUAAUACCGCAUAAUGAAGGAGGGGAUUGAGUCUGAUUAGAUAGUUGGAGGGGUAACGGCCCACCAAGGCGAUGAUCAGUAGCCGGUCUGAGAGGGUGAACGGCCACAUUGGGACUGAGACACGCCCCAGACUCCUACGGGAGGCAGCAGUGGGGAACCUCCCGCAAGGGACGAAAGUCUGACGGAGAAACGCCGCGUGAGGGAUGAGGGCCUUCGGUUUGUAAAGCUCUUUUAAUCGGGACGCGGUACCGGAAUAGAAAGCCACGGCUAACUACGUGCCAGCAGCCGCGGUAAUUC
rnacentral:rRNA from 1 species